rnacentral:rRNA from 1 species
CGCAACGAGCGCAACCCCUCUUGUUAGUUGCCAUCAUUAAGUUGGGCACUCUAGCGAGACUGCCGGUAAUAAACCGGAGGAAGGUGGGGAUGACGUCAAAUCAUCAUGCCCCUUAUGACCUGGGCUACACACGUGCUACAAUGGUUGGUACAACGAGUCGCGAGUCGGUGACGGCAAGCAAAUCUCUUAAAGCCAAUCUCAGUUUGGAUUGUAGGCUGCAACUCGCCUACAAGAAGUCGGAAUCGAUAGUAAUCCCGGAUCAGCACGCCGCGGUGAAUACGUUCCCGGGCCUUGUACACACCUCCCCUCACACCAGGCGAGUUU